CCUGCCCCUAGAAGCACUGCAGCUAUGACUGUUCUGUCAUGUGUGUGGCAGAGAGGAGAGAGGCUAUGUCUACGUUCAGUGUUCUGACCUGAAUGUAGGGGUUGUAGGUGAGCCAGUCCCA
rnacentral:snoRNA from 1 species